GUUAUUCUUGGAAGAACAGGUCCAUCAAUGGCAAGCUUGGGCUCAGAUGGAAUGGCUUCUCUCUCAAACAGAGUUACUGGUAAGCUUGUCACUGUUGCAGAAUCAGAGUCUGCCUUCAAGACGUUAGUGGCACCAGAAGGAUUACAAAGCUGGGUUUCAACCAUCCUUUGAGGAGAUCCUUCGUUGGCAAGCUUGGGUGCAGAUGGAACAGCUUCUCUCUCAAACAGAGUCACUGGAAGGCCACCUAUCAGCGCAGACUCUGAGUCUGCCUCUGUAACAU
rnacentral:misc_RNA from 1 species